GAUGUGCCUUGGGGUGACAAACAUAUAUCUAGUUGUAAGAACUUAGAUGCUGUAAUUAUUUCUGAGCAUUGUUUUUUCAGAAUAAGAUCAAAUUGAUUUUUAUUGAAACUUGUAGAAAUGGAACAGUUGAUUCUACGCGUGUACUUAAAAGAUUAUUGCAAAAUGGAUCGACUCUAUUAUUCCUAAUUUUUAUCUAUGAGUAGGUAUAUCUACACGUUAAUUUUUUAUAAAUUAUGGUUUAAUUGAGGUCAAGAUAAAAUUGCUUACUCCUAAAAGAGGGAUGGAUUAUAUGCAAUGAAAGUCCACCAAACAGAACAUAAUUGAAGUAGGGCAGCAGCUGCAGUGUAUGCGAUUUCUCCACCUCCUAGUUGGCUCGAUUUGUAAUCUGCGAAGUUGCUGUCGCCUGUGACGGUGACGACUAGUCGCCGUCGAGUCCGACAGUGACUGUUGCGGUGGUCCUGGUCCGGUGGCUUGUGAUUUGUUGUUUCAAGUUACUUGGUUGGAGAAAACUGGUUUCAUAUAUGACCCAAAUAACUUACCAAAUUUAAGAAUUUCACUCACCAAAUACAAGAUGGCUGGGGGUUGGCAACUGAUGGGAAAGUUAUAUUCGGAUUGAUAAUCAUUCAAUCUCUUUUGUGUUACAUACAUUCGAAUUUGAUAAUGAAUUAAUAAUAUUUAAUUUUAAACUUAUUCCUCAAGGACUAUACUCUUUACUUA